UACGUAGGGUGCAAGCGUUGUCCGGAAUUAUUGGGCGUAAAGAGCUCGUAGGUGGCCUGUCGCGUCGGCUGUGAAAACUCGGGGCUCAACUCCGAGCUUGCAGUCGAUACGGGCAGGCUAGAGUUCGGCAGGGGAGACUGGAAUUCCUGGUGGUAGCGGUGAAAUGCGCAGAUAUCAGGAGGAACACCGGUGGCGAAGGCGGUUCUCUGGGCAUGUCCUGACGCUGAGGAGCGAAAGUGUGGGGAGCGAACAGG
rnacentral:rRNA from 1 species